rnacentral:rRNA from 1 species
UGGGGAAUAUUGCACAAUGGGCGCAAGCCUGAUGCAGCCAUGCCGCGUGUAUGAAGAAGGCCUUCGGGUUGUAAAGUACUUUCAGCGGGGAGGAAGGCGAUAAGGUUAAUAACCUUGUCGAUUGACGUUACCCGCAGAAGAAGCACCGGCUAACUCCGUGCCAGCAGCCGCGGUAAUACGGAGGGUGCAAGCGUUAAUCGGAAUUACUGGGCGUAAAGCGCACGCAGGCGGUCUGUCAAGUCGGAUGUGAAAUCCCCGGGCUCAACCUGGGAACUGCAUUCGAAACUGGGAGGCUAGAGUCUUGUAGAGGGGGGUAGAAUUCCAGGUGUAGCGGUGAAAUGCGUAGAGAUCUGGAGGAAUACCGGUGGCGAAGGCGGCCCCCUGGACAAAGACUGACGCUCAGGUGCGAAAGCGUGGGGAGCAAACA